rnacentral:tRNA from 1 species
GCCCCUAUCGUCUAGCGGAUCGAGACAUCGCUCUUUCAAGGAGGCAACAGGGAUUCGACUUCCCCUAGGGGUA